GUUGAGCAGAAGGAUCAGAAUGAAAUCUGUGGAAAAGUUCAACAGGGACCAUUUGAAUAUCAGGGCAAAGAAUUUUCUGGAUGGAACUAUUCUACAACUUUGAAUGAGGAAGCCCCUCAGACAAAAGUAUUCAAAAGAAAUCUUAAUAUAUCUGGAAACCAGAAUUUGACAGAUGAAGAUACUAGCAAAUCUCCAUUUUCAGAAGUUUUGAAUGUGAACUUUGAAUUGGGAAGUGAAGUUUGGGAAGAUUUUGAUGAUGAAAACUUAAUCGAAAUUAGUAGUUUUUUAACUGAUACUAAGAGGACAACAACAUCAGGCUUUGGAGACACCCCGAGUUCAAGUGCCAGGGGAAGUAAGCUACCCCUCCAAAAGUCAAAGAGAAAAUUACAAAACACAGUGUCC